UACGUAGGGUGCAAGCGUUGUCCGGAAUUAUUGGGCGUAAAGAGCUCGUAGGCGGUUUGUCGCGUCUGCUGUGAAAACGCGAGGCUCAACCUCGCGCCUGCAGUGGGUACGGGCAGACUAGAGUGUGGUAGGGGAGACUGGAAUUCCUGGUGUAGCGGUGAAAUGCGCAGAUAUCAGGAGGAACACCGAUGGCGAAGGCAGGUCUCUGGGCCACUACUGACGCUGAGAAGCGAAAGCAUGGGGAGCGAACAGG
rnacentral:rRNA from 1 species